UGUGAAAAACCUUUAAAGCUACUCUGUCUUAGAAAAGAUCCAAACAAGUGAUGCUUUUAUCCAUAAAUCAUCAGAGAAAGUGAAGAAUGAGAAUGUCACCAACUAGGAAGAUCUAUACUUUUUCAAAGAUCUUCUUCAGAAGGCAUGUGAACAAAUAUUCUGGCAUGAGGACAUCUGCUUUGAUAUCAGCUUUGAGGACAGAAAUAUGUUAUUACCAACAAAUACAUGUCUUUUAAAAAUUUAUUUAUUUUUGAGUUACAUGUAUUUUAUAAAAUUCUAAGUUAAUUUGCAGACAUGGAUAUCUGAAAUCAUAAUUAUUCAACUGUAUUUUUGUCUUGGCUAUAAGGCUGACAUAUUUGUAGG
ensembl:lncRNA